AAGUCGUAACAAGGUCUCCGUUGGUGAACCAGCGGAGGGAUCAUUACCGAGUUUACAAACUCCCAAACCCUUUGUGAACCUUACCUAUCGUUGCUUCGGCGGGAUCGCCCCGGCGCCCUCGGGCCCGGAACCAGGCGCCCGCCGGAGGCCCCAAACUCUUAUGUCUUUAGUGGUUUUCUCCUCUGAGUGACACAUAAACAAAUAAAUAAAAACUUUCAACAACGGAUCUCUUGGUUCUG
rnacentral:misc_RNA from 1 species